UGUUUGUUUUUAUGAUUCUACCUUUCUUAGUACGUCAAUGUGAUUUUAUAGCGCCGUAGUUUAUCAUUAUGUUGAGCAAUAUUAUAUUAAAUCCGUCUGUACUUAAAACUCAAUGUGCAUACCUAUUGUAAAUAUAAAACAAACACAGUUACACAGAGAAGACAUUUUAAAUCAAUUAUGAUCCUAACUUAAAUGAACAUAUCCGUACUUAUCUUAUUAGUAUACUAAUAUAAAAUUCAAGUUUAAAUACACUAGAUAUUAACAUAAAAUUGUACAUAACACAAGCUUAAAACAAGUAACUUAAAACAACUUAAUUUGAUUUAAAAUACUUCCUCUAUUCUUUUUUAAAUGACACAAUUAUUUAGGCACGUUUGCCAAUUUACGAUUUCAAACGUUAAUAUCUUUUAUUAUGGAUAAGAAAAAAUUAUAAAAAAUUGAUAUUUAAAAAAUAUUUAUUGAGACGAAUCUAAUAAGAUCCCACACGACUAUAUUUUUUCUUAUGUAUAAAUCACAAAAGUAAGUCAAAGGAACAUGUGUGAAUAGUGUCGAAAGUACAAUUGUGUCAUGUAAAUAAGAAUGGAGGAAGUAGUUAAUUUGAAAAACUUAAUAAGUUAAAAAAAAAGAAAAAAAAAAGACAAAUUAAACUUUGCAGUUUGCCGCUCAUAAGUCAUAACAUUCUAAUUUCUAAACUAUACCCUAAUGGCCUAAUCUUAUACCAAAGUUCAAACGCCGCUUUUCCCCUUUGCUCAUCCAAACUCAUCCAAACCCAUCAAACGUCGGCUUCUCACGGUGAUUCAAUGCUCCACCGCCGACCAAGUUAAGCGGGAGUAGUUAUAUGGAAAAUGGGGAUCAUCGUGUAGAUUGUGUCCUGAUUUAGAAACCUAUGGGUGAUACUCUUGAAUUUACUCUUGGAUGUGCCUCGGUUUUGGAAGAUGAAGAUGUGAAUCUUAAUGAAGAUGAAUCUUAAUGAAGAGUCUUCCACUUAGUUUCAUUGGACUUCAAGUUGGAAGAUCUUUUCUCGAUGAUGCUUGUAUUUGAGAUUGUGUUUGAAGACAUUUUGUGGUUGUGUUUGAAAACAUUUUUAUUUGGGGUUGUAUUUGAAAGUCAUUUUGUGGUUGUAUUAGACGAUAUUUUACUUGGGGUUGUAUUUUAAAAGACAUUUUGUUGGUUAUUUUGUUGGAUAAGAACAUAUGCUAGUAUAGUAGUAUGCUAGUAGUUCUUUUUAAGACAAUUUGUGGUCGCAAAUCCAUAUGCGUGUAAUUUAUUUUAUAUUAUUUUUUUGAGCA